rnacentral:lncRNA from 1 species
GGACAGGGAGUUCACAAGAGAGGCCAGAGCUGAAGAUUGGGAGCAUCAAUGUAGUUCUUGACGCUGCGGCUAUACUUGUGAUCACUUGGGCAGUGUAGAUAGAGAGAGAGACACUGAAAAAGAUCAAGGACACAUUCUUCUAAGGAGCUGGGGAAGCUGCAAAGUCUUGGCAAGAGACUCAGGAGUAACUGAGGGAAGAGGGAAGGACUGGGAGAAUAUGAAGCCAGAAAACAACCAGAAGUAGGAAGCAGAAGACACAGGGAGGCAGAGACAGCACGGGGCAGCCAAGCUGAGCUCUUGCUGACUCUCAGCAGCAAUGCUAUUUUGGGGAGUGCAUCGGUAGGGGGUGUGCCGGAGACAGAAGCUAGUGCCUUCCUCUAAGCAAGGACUAUACCACCGAACAUCACAGUGAGCCACACUGACCCCCCUUCAAUGGUUUUCUGAGACAAUCUUGGUAGGAAGGCAAACAGAGGUAAUAUCACAUGCCUGGAUGGAUGCGGAGAACGUCUGAAGGCUGCCCUACGGAGUUGGAAAUGCUAAGGAUGGAGUUUAUCUUCAACUCCAGGCCUUGUGACAUGGCAACAUGACUACGUGCUUGUAUCUGUCAUCUGGAAAGAACCGAGCUGCUGCCCUGCAUACCAUGACCGAGGCAUCCGGAACCUCAUAGCAACCCUUCUCCUCACUGUGUAUUUUGAGAAUCCAAAUAACACGAACUCCAGUGCUGUCUUUCGUGAUUUAAAACACAAAGGACAACUCAUGAACGUGACUCAGGCUUUAUAAACGAAAAAAGAAAUCAUAGAUGCCUAGCUAACGGCCGUGGUAACCUCUCUGGGCUUCUGUUUUAGAAGUAAAGCCAAUCUAUGAUGAAGUUUCAUAAGUCAAGUGCUUACUAUAAAGCUGAACAUAGCUUUUCAAUGAGUGUUUGCCAUUUAAAAUUCUGCUAGAGGGCUGGAGAGAUAGCUAAUCAAGUCAAGAGCACUGGCUGAUCUUUCACAGGACCCAAGUUCGAUUCCCAGGACCCAAGUUUGAUUCCCAGAACCUGUUGGCAGUUUACAAUCACCAAUAACUCCAGUCCCAGGGGAUUCAACACUCUCUUCUGGCCUCUGCAGGCACCAGGAAUUAAUGCAGUAUACAGACAUGCAUGCGGACAGACAUCCAUAUACAUAAAAUAAACAAAUUUUAAAAAAUUCCCUGAGAAAAUAUGUGUAAGAAGUUUAUUUUCCUAGUCCUCACUUAACUGUGUUAAUAUAUCUGAAUUUGGAUAAAGAGUUAUAUAGAUUUGAGGCUGGAGAGAUGGCUCAGUGGUUAAGAAUUGCUCUUGCAGAGGACCUGGGUUCAAGUCUUAACACUCACAUUGUGUGGCUUACACAACUUUUUGUAAACACAACUUUGUGACUCUAGCUCUAGGGGUUCCAACUUAACCUUCUUGGGUACUGGUGCUCACAUGCACAUGCCUACACAUAGACUCAUGCACAUACACAUAACUAAAAAUACUACAAAAGAGUCAUACAGAUUUUCAUUUGCUUAUUCUGUAAUAUUUAGUGAAUGGCUUCCAUUUAUCAAACAUUGUUCUUGCAGCUAGGAUACAGUAAUGAAGGCCACAGGAAGCCCUGCCCUCAGGAAGCUUGUCUUCUGGGGUGGGAGUCAGGGCUGAUGUUAUCAUAGUGUAUAUGUCCCUGUCCCAGGCUAGCUCCUUCAUAGCUUAGAGAGAACUAGCCUGGGACAGGGAACAGGGAAGCAGUGAUAAGUGCAUAUUAGAAAAUGUGCAGAUUAACUUUUCAUUUUGUUAUAUAGUCUAGUAUCGACAAGCUGUUUAUAUUUAAAAAGAACAUUUUACCUAUAUUUACCUAUUUUACCUUAAAACAUUGUGAUGGUUUGAAUUAAAAUGGUCCUAUAUGCAUAGACUCGUCUGUUUGC